rnacentral:lncRNA from 1 species
ACAACUCUUAUUUCUCAGCUGCCACAUUGUCUUCUGAUUGAUCGACUUUUAAUAACUGCCUGCUGUGUUUUGAUUAAUUUCAUGUGUAAAAAAUUUGCAAAGGAGACUGCCUUUAUGAAAACAGAAGGCUAGCUACCCCCCCCAAAAAUGAUUUUAUAAUAUGAUAAGAAUCAGUUCACCUGGUGAGUUUGUUUUGUUUUUACAAACUAAGAUAAUCUUAGUUUUAUUAGUCCUUAUCUUCCUGCAAACACCAAGUUUCAGGAAUAUCCUCAGAACUCAUUAUACUCAAGUAAUCUUCAAUCUUUUAUUGCUUUUGCUGCAGCCUUUCCAUGGGAUGGGGUGGAGAUUGCAUUUCUCACGUGAAAGAGCCGGCGGAGAAAGGGGCUGAAUGAGAGGAGGGGCAGCUGGAGGCGUCAGGGUGCCUCAGUGUGGCUGGACCCCAAACUCACAGCUUAGCCAGUUUCUGAGUGCUUCUGAGGACUGAGCACCC